rnacentral:rRNA from 1 species
AUUUCCUACGGGGGGUAGCAGUAGGGAAUCUUCCACAAUGGACGAAAGUCUGAUGGAGCAACGCCGCGUGAGUGAAGAAGGGUUUCGGCUCGUAAAGCUCUGUUGGUAGUGAAGAAAGAUAGAGGUAGUAACUGGCCUUUAUUUGACGGUAGUUACUUAGAAAGUCACGGCUAACUACGUGCCAGCAGCCGCGGUAAUACGUAGGUGGCAAGCGUUGUCCGGGUUUAUUGGGCGUAAAGCGAGUGCAGGCGGGUCAAAAA